AGUUCUCUCUCUCACCUGGGUUCUCUCUCUUUUUCUCGUGGGUUCUCUCUCAUCUGGGUUCUCUCUCGUGGGCUCUCUCUCUCUCUCUCUCCUAGGUUUUCUUAUUUGGGGAUUUAUCAAUUUCAUAGCCAUGGAUUGAUAACCCAGGUACAAGAAAGGAGACCAUAACGAGGGUCUGACUCUGGAUUUGUGUCUCAUGAUCUCUACCUUCAUGGGUAUUUCAGUGCUUCCAUUAAGUUA